GGACUGCGACAGGUUUAGCGGAGGCAGGUUUCUCCCCUGCCGGCCGUAGGCUCCGCGGCCCCCGCCCCACUGGCAGCGCUGCGGCACUCCCGGGCGCCCUCCCGCCGCCGGGAGCGCUGUGGGCCGCAGAGGGUCUGGUCGCUGACGCCCUGGCGGCCGCCGCGCGUCUGAAGGGAGCUGCUGGCGCGGCCCAGGCAGUCCCCGCCCGAGACCGCACCGCAGCCGCCAUGGCUACAAAAGACCCCACAGCUGUAGAGCGAGCAAACUUGUUAAACAUGGCUAAACUGAGCAUCAAAGGACUCAUUGAAUCUGCUCUAAGCUUUGGCCGCACUUUGGAUUCUGACUAUCCCCCCUUGCAGCAGUUCUUUGUUGUUAUGGAACAUUGUCUGAAACACGGUCUUAAAGUAAGAAAAUCAUUUUUGAGUUACAACAAAACUAUCUGGGGUCCUUUGGAACUAGUGGAGAAGCUGUACCCAGAAGCAGAGGAAAUAGGGGCUAGUGUCCGGGACUUACCUGGUCUUAAGACCCCUCUGGGUCGUGCAAGGGCAUGGCUUCGAUUAGCCCUCAUGCAAAAAAAAAUGGCUGAUUAUCUUCGUUGCUUAAUAAUUCAAAGGGAUCUCUUGAGUGAAUUCUAUGAGUAUCAUGCACUAAUGAUGGAAGAAGAAGGAGCAGUAAUUGUUGGGCUACUGGUUGGCCUGAAUGUGAUAGAUGCUAAUCUGUGUGUAAAGGGAGAGGAUUUAGACUCACAAGUUGGAGUGAUUGAUUUUUCCAUGUAUUUAAAGAAUGAAGAUGAUAUUGGAAAUAAAGAAAGGAAUGUUCAAAUUGCUGCCAUAUUAGACCAGAAGAAUUAUGUUGAAGAAUUAAAUAGACAACUGAACAGCACUGUCAGCAGUCUCCAUUCAAGAGUUGACUCAUUAGAAAAGUCAAAUACUAAGCUGAUUGAAGAGUUAGCAAUAGCAAAGAAUAAUAUCAUUAAACUCCAAGAAGAAAAUCAUCAAUUACGAAGUGAGAAUAAAUUGAUUUUAAUGAAAACACAGCAACACCUAGAGGUUACCAAAGUGGACGUGGAAACUGAGCUUCAAACAUAUAAGCAUUCUCGACAGGGUCUAGAUGAAAUGUACAAUGAAGCCAGAAGGCAGCUUCGAGAUGAAUCUCAGUUACGACAGGAUGUCGAGAGUGAGCUAGCCGUGCAAGUUAGUAUGAAGCAUGAGAUUGAACUCGCCAUGAAGUUGCUGGAGAAAGAUAUCCAUGAGAAACAAGAUACUCUGAUAGGCCUUAGACAACAACUAGAGGAAGUUAAAGCAAUUAACAUAGAGAUGUAUCAAAAGUUGCAGGGUUCUGAAGAUAGUUUGAAAGAAAAAAAUGAAAUAAUUGCUCGACUAGAAGACAAAACCAAUAAAAUUACUAUAGCCAUGAGGCAGCUGGAACAAAGUGACAACGAUUUGUUAACUCAAACUAGGACAAUUGCAAUGUCAUUGGUGAAAUGUGCCAGCAGUGACACUCAGGACCAGUACAAGCUGGUCAAAGAUAUAUCUUUCUGAAAACCACUUGUAUUUAAAUAGACUGAAAGAGAAUCAACAAUUUUAUAAUAUAUUACACAGAAAAGAAUUUAUGCUAUUAAGUCUUCUAAAGGGGUAUUAGGGACCCUGUACACUUCUUGAUCAGCUGCUAUGGUAACACACUGCCAUAAAGCAGAGUGGGUGCACUUGGAUUUCCAAAAACACAUCCCUCAAACCUUGUGCACAAGGGCUGAUUUUGAGUAUUGACCUUCAGAGGUCAGGAUUUUCAAAUGCAGUUUUAUCUUUUUAGCUACUUUUUGAUGAAAAAUAUAUAAAUUGUUUAAAAAUAAGUUAACCUUUGGUUUCACAAUGUGUUGGCACAGAUUUUUUUUUCCACCGUUGGUCCACGGUUUGCCUAAUGGCUCUUUUACUAAUUUUUAAAAUGUUUAAAAUAGUUUGUAACCCAGAUUGGCCAUCAUCUUGUGCUUCAGCACCUCAAGUUUCUAGUUCCCCUUAAUUGUUUUCUAUGAUAGCACAACUUCAAGGCCUACCUCACUCCUUUUUUUUUUUCUUUAGUUUCUAUAACAUUAGACAAAAGCUCCCUCUACCUUAAUAUUUCAAAUUUAGAUUUAAAGACAACUUGAAUGUUACUCUUUUCCUUGGAAGUGGCAUUCAUACCUCUGAAGUAUGUGAGGGUUGCCCCAUUGGUAUGGUUUUAAGGAAGAAAAGAAGAGGCUUUUUUGUUGUUGUUGUUGUUGUUAGCUGAAUGGAAGCUUAUCUUAGGAUUCCCUACAAGGAAUUAAUAUUACUUGAAUACUUGGGAGAUGUUUUCAUAUAAAAAUACUGAAGUUAAAUCUAAGAAAUCCUAGGUGACCAUAGGAGACAGGGAGUGGAGCUAAGCACAGGGAGAAGCAAUGACUUAAAAAUAAGAACAAAUGGAAAUCACAUUUUAGCAAGUUUUAAAAAUUCAAUGACAAAAUUCAAAGAAUAAAAAUAACCUCUAGAGAAUGUUGCCAACUGGUACUAAAUACUUUUAAAUCUUAAAAUGCACACACAUAUACAUACAGCUUUGGCAUAAUUUAGUAAAUGCAUAAUGAUCCUAUAGGGAGGACUAGGCUGUUAAUUUAAAGUAGUUGCAGGUCUUUGCUCUUGGCCUUGUUAGUGCACUUGAUUCCUGGCAUACACAUCCUAACAUAACAAUGGGGCUUCUUCACCUAGUAUAGACAUAAAUACUAUGCUUUUCAUGGUUUUGUAAAAAGGUAGUAACACACCUAUUAUACUUUGAAAUUUGAUUCAUUAUGCUCUAUAAAAGUGGUAAAGGCUGUAUUGCUUUGCAUUAUUAAUUAUGAACAAGAAAUAAAACAAAUUUGAAGAUAGUAUUCUGGGCAUAUUAUAUGUUAUAUUGAAAAGAAAUCACAAAACAAUUUCUAGACAUUGUGUGGCUCUUUCACGUUUGAGUUUGUGAGUUUUCCCCCAAACUUUGUUUUCAUUUAGAAAUGUUUCUAUUUCCCCAUUUUUCUUUUAUUUGUCUUCUUCACCCUUUUACACCCUAGUUCUAGCCUCAGUUUUACCCAAAGUUGAUUUGAAUUACACCAGAUUGCAGCAAGCAGAGAAGGCGCAAAUGGAAGCUGAAGAUGAGGACAAGAAGUAUCUACAAGAAUGUCAGAGUAAAUCCGACAGUCUGCAGAAACAAAUCUCUCAAAAGGAGAAACAGCUGGUGCAACUGGAAACUGAUUUGAAGAUCGAGAAGGAAUGGAGGCAGACUUUGCAGGAAGAUCUUCAAAAGGAGAAAGAUGCCUUAGCUCAUCUUAGAAAUGAGACCCAACAAAUCAUUAGUCUUAAAAAAGAGUUCCUUGACCUCCAGGAUGAAAAUCAGCAGUUGAAAAAAGUGUAUCAUGAACAGGAGCAGGCUCUUCAAGAACUUGGCAACAAACUUAGCGAGUCAAAACUUAAAAUAGAAGAUAUAAAAGAAGCCAACAAAGCGUUGCAGGGACUGGUAUGGUUGAAAGACAAAGAAGCAACACAUUGUAAGCUUUGUGAAAAGGAAUUCUCACUCUCUAAGAGAAAGCACCACUGUAGAAACUGUGGAGAAAUUUUCUGUAAUGCUUGCUCUGACAAUGAACUGCCUUUGCCCUCUUCACCAAAGCCAGUACGGGUUUGUGAUUCCUGUCAUGCACUGCUGAUUCAGAGAUGCUCAUCUAAUUUGCCGUAAGACUCCAGAACUAAAUCUUCCUUGUAUGCAAGUACCUAUGGUGAAUGUUAUGUGUGAAUAUGUGCACAUAUUCGGACAGCUCUUCUGAAGCGACUUUCGGACAGUACUGGUACCAGUUCUGUUCCACAUUUCAAUUCAUGGGAAUUAAGUUGUAUAAUUUGGUAUUUCCUUUCCACUAUUAUUCAAAAAGAAUUUUCAACAGGGCAUGUUUUGAAAACUUUAACCUAACUCCAAAUUCAUGUAAUUAUAAUGUAACUCUCAAUGACACUGAAAGGCCAGAUAGCAUAGCUAACACUUAUCUGCCUUACUUUAUAAAGGCCUUCUUAAAAAUAGGGCUUCAGAUUGUUUUAUUCUCCAGAUGGUUGAGUUUAUAUUUGAUGGUGCCUGUAAGUUUUAUUAAUGCACUUUAAAGCUUCAUGGGUCUCAUAGAAAGACUGGAAAUGUGCAGAACUUUUUACAAGUGUUAAGAUUCCAAUUCAACAUAUUUCCCAUUAAGUUAGUAAGAUGUCAUCUAUAUUUAUUUGGCCCUUUCCCCCUCCCUUCUUUUGCCUACUUUGCAUUAGAAAAAGCCAAUGUUUUAUCCUGUAAAAUUUCUUUUGGUUUUCUUCCUCUAAAAUCAAUGUUGUAGUUGCUGAUACCUUUCAGAUACAGUGGGUUAAAGAGGUUACUUUGCCUCAACCUUUUCCUUAUUUUGAAAGGAGGUUAAACCAUCAUCCUUUUACCUUAAGCUGCUACUUGCAGAUCUAGUAAGUUUUAAGCAUUACAUUGCAGCCGUCUGCUACUGCAGUAUAGAGUAAAAAAUUCACCAUAAACUGAGCACCUCUAAGCUAGGGUCAGUUAGUGAAAAUGUGGUCACCCUGCCAUGAAAUAUGUACUUGAACCAUUUCAAGCAUGAGACUAAAUAAACACUAACCUUGUUAUAUUACUUAUAGCAUACCAAGAAUCUGUCAAGUUACCUUUGUAUAGUCACUUGAAUGACACCACUACUAGGGAACCUACAUUAAAAAAAAAUUAGUUUAAUACCAGCCAUGCACUUUAUGACUGUGUACCUUUCAAACAAUGUCCUGUUAGGAUAACCUUACAUUAUUCCUAAAAGCAUUAUAUUUAGUGAAUUUAAUCAUGGCCAGCUCCCUAGGAUGGGGGAUAUCCUGCAGGAUCCUUUCCUCAAGAGUACAUACUUUCAUUAAGCUUAAAAAUUAUUUUUCUAAAUUCCCAGAGUAUGAAAUUAGUAUUUUACUUGAAGAUUUUUUCUUCACAAUCCAGGUUGAGGUCUUCAGUUAGAAAUGAGAUUUUUAGGUGGUCUUUCUUGAAUACUCUGAUAGAAAUGUCCCGAAGAGAUAAAUUAUAUUCUUGAAAAGUUUUGUAUUGAUGGGAUGAACAUUUUUAUGAUUGCUGAAAAUGAGAU